UGGGGCGUGGUCCAACUGGUAGGACACCUCACUGUUAAUGAGGACGGUGAAGGUUCGAAU
rnacentral:tRNA from 1 species